UACGUAGGGUGCGAGCGUUGUCCGGAAUUAUUGGGCGUAAAGAGCUCGUAGGCGGUCUGUCGCGUCGAUCGUGAAAACUUGGGGCUUAACCCUGAGCUUGCGGUCGAUACGGGCAUGACUGGAGUUCGGCAGGGGAGACUGGAAUUCCUGGUGUAGCGGUGAAAUGCGCAGAUAUCCGGAGGAACACCGGUGGCGAAGGCGGCUUCCUGGACCGACACUGACGCUG
rnacentral:rRNA from 1 species